rnacentral:rRNA from 1 species
CCUACGGGAGGCUGCAGUGGGGAAUAUUGCACAAUGGGGGAAACCCUGAUGCAGCGACGCCGCGUGAGUGAAGAAGUAUUUCGGUACGUAAAGCUCUAUCAGCAGGGAAGAAAAUGACGGUACCUGACUAAGAAGCCCCGGCUAACUACGUGCCAGCAGCCGCGGUAAUACGUAGGGGGCAAGCGUUAUCCGGAUUUACUGGGUGUAAAGGGAGCGUAGACGGCAGCGCAAGUCUGGAGUGAAAUCCCAUGGCUUAACCAUGGAACUGCUUUGGAAACUGUGCAGCUAGAGUGCAGGAGAGGUAAGCGGAAUGCCUAGUGUAGCGGUGAAAUGCGUAGAUAUUAGGAGGAACACCAGUGGCGAAGGCGGCUUACUGGACUGUAACUGACGUUGAGGCUCGAAAGCGUGGGGAGCAAACAGGAUUAGAUACCCUAGUAGUC